CCUCACUCCCUCUAUAAAACCCCACACGAAGAACUCUUCACCUCAUCACCGAGUUUUUUUAGCUCCUCCUCUCGCCUUACCUCUUCACCUCAAACCUUCUUUAUUUACCGUUUGAUCUCAACUUUUUCUUUGAUCACAUCUCUCUAAGCUAUGGAAAUGAAGAAAGCUGUGCUGAAAGUGGAGUUGCAUGAUGAGAAAGCCAAGAAAAAAGCCAUGAAGACAGUCUCUGGUUUUUCAGGGGUGAAUUCAUUAUCCAUCGACAUGAAGGACAAGAAGAUGACAGUGACAGGGGACAUUGAUCCAGUAUGCAUAGUGUCCAAACUGAGAAAGCUGUUUUGCACUGAAAUAGUUACAGUCGGACCAGCAAAAUAGCCUGA